rnacentral:rRNA from 1 species
AGCAGCCGCGGUAAUUCCAGCUCCAAUAGCGUAUAUUAAAGUUGUUGCAGUUAAAAAGCUCGUAGUUGAAUUUCGGGAUCAAUAUGUUGGUCGUGCCUUGGUACGUACUGGCAUUAUUGGUUCCUACCUUCUGAAGAACCUCGAUGUCAUUAAUUUGGUGUCUUGGGGAAUCAGGACUGUUACUUUGAAAAAUUAGAGUGUUUAAAGCAGGCUCGCGCUUGAAUACAUUAGCAUGGAAUAAUGAAAUAGGACGUUUGAUUCUAUUUUGUUGGUUUCUAGGAUCGACGUAAUGAUUAAUAGGGAUAGUUGGGGGCAUUAGUAUUCAAUUGUCAGAGGUGAAAUUCUUGGAUUUAUUGAAGACUAACUACUGCGAAAGCAUUUGCCAAGGAUGUUUUCAUUAAUCAAGAACGAAAGUUAGGGGAUCGAAGACGAUCAGAUACCGUCGUAGUCUUAACCAUAAACUAUGCCGACUAGGGAUUGGAUGAUGUAAUUUUUAAUGACUCAUUC